UACGAAGGGGGCUAGCGUUGCUCGGAAUCACUGGGCGUAAAGGGUGCGUAGGCGGACUUUUAAGUCAGGGGUGAAAGCCUGAGGCUCAACCUCAGAACUGCCUUUGAUACUGAGAGUCUCGAGACCGGAAGAGGUAAGUGGAACUGCGAGUGUAGAGGUGAAAUUCGUAGAUAUUCGCAAGAACACCAGUGGCGAAGGCGGCUCACUGGCCCGGUACUGACGCUGAGGUGCGAAAGCGUGGGGAGCAAACAGG
rnacentral:rRNA from 1 species